CCCUUAGAUGUUCUGGGCCGCACGCGUGCUACACUGAGUGGAUCAGCGGGUCAGGUUGCGCGAAAGCGUUUCCUAAUCUUUAAAUCCGCUCGUGAUGGGGAUUGACGGUUGCAAUUUUCUGUCAUGAACGAGGAAUACCUUGUAAGCGCGGGUCAUCAUCCCGCGCUGAAUACGUCCCUGCCCUUUGUACACACCGCCCGUCGCUCCUACCGAUUGAGUGGUCCGGUGAGGCUUUGGGAUCUGAGCGGAAAGAGCGUUUCGCUGUUUCUGCUCGGAAAACUCAGUCGAACGUUAUCAUUUAGAGGAAGGAGAAGUCGUAACA
rnacentral:rRNA from 1 species